UACGAAGGGGGGCUAGCGUUGCUCGGAAUCACUGGGCGUAAAGGGUGCGUAGGCGGGUCUUUUAAGUCAGGGGUGAAAUCCUGGAGCUCAACUCCAGAACUGCCUUUGAUACUGAAGAUCUUGAGUUCGGGGAGAGGUGAGUGGAACUGCGAGUGUAGAGGUGAAAUUCGUAGAUAUUCGCAAGAACACCAGUGGCGAAGGCGGCUCACUGGCCCGAUACUGACGCUGAGGCACGAAAAGCGUGGGGGAGCAAACAGG
rnacentral:rRNA from 1 species